AAGCCGUGAUGCGGGCAAUCCCAUUGAUACUCCUUGAAUCUAACCCAGGCUGCCUUGAAAGCUUCUAUUGGACCUUGGGUGAAGGUAGACAGCUUGUUUCUCAGCUC